UACGUAGGUGGCAAGCGUUGUCCGGAUUUAUUGGGUUUAAAGGGUGCGUAGGCGGCCUUGUAAGUCAGUGCUGAAAUAUCCCGGCUUAACCGGGAGGGUGGCAUUGAUACUGCAGGGCUUGAGUAAAGUUGAGGUUGGCGGAAUUGACGGUGUAGCGGUGAGAUGCUUAGAUAUCGUCAAGAACACCGAUAGUGAAGACAGCUAACUAAGCUUUAACUGACGCUGAGGCACGAAAGUGUGGGGAUCAAACAGG
rnacentral:rRNA from 1 species